GCAUGCAGUCGAGCGGUAGCUCCUAUUGGUUAAAGCCGAUAGGAGUGAGAGCGGCGCACGGGUGAGUAACACGUAGGUAACCUACCCCAGAGAGGGGGAUAACACCUCGAAAGGGGUGCUAAACCCCCAUAUACUUACCGAGCGAGAUGCUCAGGUAAGGAAAGGGUAUAGAGGGGUAACCCUCUAUGCUGCUCUGGGAUGGGCCUGCGGCCUAUCAGCUAGUUGGUGGGGUAAAGGCCCACCAAGGCUAAGACGGGUAGCCGGCCUGAGAGGGUGGUCGGCCACACUGGGACUGAGACACGGCCCAGACUCCUACGGGAGGCAGCAGCCGGGAAUCUUCCGCAAUGGGGGAAACCCUGACGGAGCGACGCCGCGUGAGGGAAGAAGCCCUUCGGGGUGUAAACUUCUUUUCUCGGGGAAGAAGGCAUGACGGUACCCGAGGAAAAAGCCCCGGCUAACUACGUGCCAGCAGCCGCGGUAAGACGUAGGGGGCGAGCGUUGUCCGGAUUUACUGGGCGUAAAGGGCGUGUAGGCGGCUUAGCAAGUCAGAUGUGGAAGCCCCGGGCUCAACUCGGGGAGGACAUCUGAUACUGCUAAGCUAGAGGGCAGGAGAGGAGAGCGGAACUUCCGGUGUAGCGGUGAAAUGCGUAGAUAUCGGAAGGAACGCCGGUGGCGAAGGCGGCUCUCUGGACUGUCCCUGACGCUGAGGCGCGAAAGCUAGGGGAGCGAACGGGAUUAGAUACCCCGGUAGUCCUAGCCGUAAACGAUGGGCACU
rnacentral:rRNA from 1 species